AGACCCGAAACCCGGUGAUCUAGCCAUGGGCAGGUUGAAGGUUGGGUAACACUAACUGGAGGACCGAACCGACUAAUGUUGAAAAAUUAGCGGAUGACCUGUGGCUGGGGGUGAAAGGCCAAUCAAACCGGGAGAUAGCUGGUUCUCCCCGAAAGCUAUUUAGGUAGCGCCUCGUGAAUUCAUCUCCGGGGGUAGAGCACUGUUUCGGCUAGGGGGCCAUCCCGGCUUACCAACCCGAUGCAAACUGCGAAUACCGGAGAAUGUUAUCACGGGAGACACACGGCGGGUGCUAACGUCCGUCGUGAAGAGGGAAACAACCCAGACCGCCAGCUAAGGUCCCAAAGUCAUGGUUAAGUGGGAAACGAUGUGGGAAGGCCCAGACAGCCAGGAUGUUGGCUUAGAAGCAGCCAUCAUUUAAAGAAAGCGUAAUAGCUCACUGGUCGAGUCGGCCUGCGCGGAAGAUGUAACGGGGCUAAACCAUGCACCGAAGCUGCGGCAGCGAACGUAUCACCCAAGACAACUUUACGGAGUUGACGAUUGACGGAGCGAAGCGACGUCAAAGCGUUCAUUAAAGUCGAGUUGGCUUAGGGAUACGUUCGUUGGGUAGGGGAGCGUUCUGUAAGCCUGUGAAGGUGUGUCGUGAGGCAUGCUGGAGGUAUCAGAAGUGCGAAUGCUGACAUAAGUAACGAUAAAGCGGGUGAAAAGCCCGCUCGCCGGAAGACCAAGGGUUCCUGUCCAACGUUAAUCGGGGCAGGGUGAGUCGACCCCUAAGGCGAGGCCGAAAGGCGUAGUCGAUGGGAAACGGGUUAAUAUUCCCG
rnacentral:rRNA from 1 species